AUUGAACGCUGGCGGCAGGCCUAACACAUGCAAGUCGAACGAGUGGCGGACGGGUGAGUAAUUUCUUGGAAACUGCCUGAUGGAGGGGGAUAACUACUGGAAACGGUAGCUAAUACCGCAUACCAUCGGAUGUGCCCAGAUGGGAUUAGCUAGUCGGUGGGGUAACGGCUCACCUAGGCGACGAUCCCUAGCUGGUCUGAGAGGGUGAUCAGCAACACUGGAACUGAGACACGGUCCAGACUCCUACGGGAGGCAGCAGUGGGGAAUAGUGCACAAUGGGCGAAAGCCUGAUGCAGCCAUGCCGCGUGUAUGAAGAAGGCCUUCGGGUUGUAAAGUACUGUCAGCGGGGAGGCGUUACCCGCAGAAGAAGCACCGGCUAACUCCGUGCCAGCAGCCGCGGUAAUAC
rnacentral:rRNA from 1 species